rnacentral:rRNA from 1 species
CUGUCCUACGGGGGGCAGCAGUGGGGAAUAUUGCACAAUGGGGGAAACCCUGAUGCAGCAACGCCGCGUGAGUGAAGAAGUAUUUCGGUAUGUAAAGCUCUAUCAGCAGGGAAGAAAAUGACGGUACCUGAGUAAGAAGCCCCGGCUAACUACGUGCCAGCAGCCGCGGUAAUACGUAGGGGGCAAGCGUUAUCCGGAUUUACUGGGUGUAAAGGGAGCGUAGACGGCGAUACAAGUCUGAAGUGAAAGCCCG